AAUAGAUACCCGGGUAGUCCAUGCCGUAAACGAUGAGUGCUAAGUGUUAGAGGGUUUCCGCCCUUUAGUGCUGCAGCUAACGCAUUAAGCACUCCGCCUGGGGAGUACGGCCGCAAGGCUGAAACUCAAAGGAAUUGACGGGGGCCCGCACAAGCGGUGGAGCAUGUGGUUUAAUUCGAAGCAACGCGAAGAACCUUACCAGGUCUUGACAUCCUCUGACAGCCCUAGAGAUAGGGCUUUCCCCUUCGGGGGACAGAGUGACAGGUGGUGCAUGGUUGUCGUCAGCUCGUGUCGUGAGAUGUUGGGUUAAGUCCCGCAACGAGCGCAACCCUUGAUCUUAGUUGCCAGCAUUCAGUUGGGCACUCUAAGGUGACUGCCGGUGACAAACCGGAGGAAGGUGGGGAUGACGUCAAAUCAUCAUGCCCCUUAUGACCUGGGCUACACACGUGCUACAAUGGAUGGUACAAAGGGCUGCAAACCUGCGAAGGUAAGCGAAUCCCAUAAAGCCAUUCUCAGUUCGGAUUGCG
rnacentral:rRNA from 1 species